AUAUUAAUGAGGGGAGGAAAAGAAACUAACUAGGAUUCCCUCAGUAAUGGCGAAUGAAGUGGGAAGAGCUCAGGUUUAAAAUCUAGCAGCAUCUUGCUGUUCGAAUUGUAGUCUUUUGGACGGUCAUAGGGGUAGGCACCAGCACAAGUCUGUUGGAAAACAGCGCCUUAGAGGGUGACAGCCCCGUAGUUGGCUGGCUGACUUGCUCCGUAAGUUGAUCGUUCGUAGAGUCGGGUUGUUUGGGAAUGCAGCCUUAACUGCGAGGUAAAUUCCUCGCAAAGCUAAAUACUGGCAUGAGACCGAUAGCGAACAAGUAGAGUGAUCGAAAGAUGAAAAGAACUUUGAAAAGAGGGUUAAAAGUACGUGAAAUCGCUAAAAGGGAAGCGGUUGGGUUCAGUAUAGGUGCGUAUCCGAAUCGGUUAUCGUGGGGGUAUAAGGGGCUUUAAAGAGGGCUGGUUUACACCGGUUCAUUUAGGGUUCAUGAAGCUCUCGUCGGUGACCUACUUUUGGUACACAUCAGUCAGCAUCGGUUCGUUUGCGUUGGUGACAGAAAAGCUGGGGGAUGGAAGGCCGCCUGCGGGUGGCUGAAUACCCUG
rnacentral:rRNA from 1 species